ACUUUUGGACAAUGGGGGAAACCCUGAUCCAGCAAUCACGCGUGUAUGAUGAGGGCCUUCGGGUUGUAAAGUACUGUUGGCAGCGAAGAAAAGGUAUAUCCUAAUACGAGAUACUGCUGACGGUAUCUGUAGAAUACGCAUCGGCUAAUUACGUGCACGCAGCCGCGGUAAGACGUAGGGUGCAAGCGUUAAUCGGAAUUACUGGGCGUAAAGCGCACGUAGGUGGUUUGCUAAGUUGGAAGUGAAAGCCACGGGCUCAACCUGGGAACUGCUUUCAAAACUGGCAAGCUAGAGUAUGGCAGAGGGUGGUGGAAUUUCCUGUGUAGCGGUGAAAUGCGUAGAUAUGUGGAGGAAUACCGAUGGCGAAGGCAGCCCCCUGGGAUAAUACUGACGAUCAGACACGAAAGCGUGAGGAUCAAACAGG
rnacentral:rRNA from 1 species